rnacentral:rRNA from 1 species
UACGGAGGGUGCGAGCGUUGUCCGGAAUCAUUGGGCGUAAAGGGCGCGUAGGUGGCCCGGUGAGUCUUUGGUGAAAGCCCGGGGCUCAACCCCGGGUCGGCCGUCGAUACUCUCGUGCUUGAGCACUGUAGAGGCAGGUGGAAUUCCGGGUGUAGCGGUGGAAUGCGUAGAGAUCCGGAGGAAGACCGGUGGCGAAGGCGGUCUGCUGGGCAGUUUCUGACACUGAGGCGCGACAGCGUGGGGAGCAAACAGG